GCCAGGUGAAGUGGCCCAUGCCUGUAAUUCCAGCAGCUUGGGAGGCUGAGACAGGAGGAUCACAAGUUCAAAGCCAGUCUCAGGCAAUGGUGAGGUGCUAAGCAACUCAGUGAGACCCUGUCUCUA
rnacentral:sRNA from 1 species